AGGCCUCACACAUGCAAGUCGAACGGUGGUCGCAAUCCCAUAGUGGCGCACGGGUGCGUCACACGUCACUAAUCUCACUACAACUGGGGGAUCGCCCGCCGAAAGGCGGAUUAAUACCGCAUAACAUCAGGUGGCGGCAUCGUCUCUUGAUUAAAGAUUUAUUGGUUGUAUAUGAGGUUGCGGGUCAUUAGCUAGUUGGUUGGGUAACGGCUGACCAAGGCGACGAUGACUAGGGGAGCUGAGAGGCUGGUCCCCCACACGGGCACUGAGAUACGGGCCCGACUCCUACGGGAGGCAGCAGUAGGGAAUAUUGGGCAAUGGACGAGAGUCUGACCCAGCCAUGCCGCGUGCAGGAAGAAGGCGCUCAGCGUUGUAAACGGCUUUUACUCAUGAAGAACUGUGGGGAUGCGUCCUUACUUGACGGUAAUGAGGGAAUAAGCACCGGCUAACUCCGUGCCAGCAGCCGCGGUAAU
rnacentral:rRNA from 1 species